CAGUAGCCACGGUAAUACGUAGGUGGCAAGCGUUGUCCGGAAUUAUUGGGCGUAAAGGGCUCGCAGGCGGUUUCUUAAGUCUGAUGUGAAAGCCCCCGGCUCAACCGGAGAGGGUCAUUGGAAACUGGGAAACUUGAGUGCAGAAGAGGAGAGUGGAAUUCCACGUGUAGCGGUGAAAUGCGUAGAGAUGUGGAGGAACACCAGUGGCGAAGGCGACUCUCUGGUCUGUAACUGACGCUGAGGAGCGAAAGCGUGGGGAGCGAACAGGAUUAGAUACCCCGGUAGUCCCUGUCUCUUAUAC
rnacentral:rRNA from 1 species